rnacentral:rRNA from 1 species
AGUGAACGCUGGCGGUAGGCCUAACACAUGCAAGUCGAACGUCAGCACAGUAAGAGCUUGCUCUUACGGGUGGCGAGUGGCGGACGGGUGAGGAAUACAUCGGAAUCUACUUUUUCGUGGGGGAUCACGUAGGGAAACUUACGCUAAUACCGCAUACGACCUACGGGUGAAAGCAGGGGAUCUUCGGACUUUGCGUGAUUCAAUGUGCCGAUGCCGGUUUAGCUAGUUGGCGGGUUAAAGGCCCACCAAGGCGACGAUCCGUAGCUGGUCUGAGAGGAUGAUCAGCCACACUGGAACUGAGACACGGUCCAGACUCCUACGGGAGGCAGCAGUGGGGAAUAUUGUACAAUGGGCGCAAGCCUGAUCCAGCCAUACCGCGUGAGUGAAGAAGGCCUUCGGGUUGGAAAGCCCUUUUGUUGGGAAAGAAAAGCAGCAGGUUAAUACCCCGCUGUUCUGACGGUACCCAAAGAAUAAGCACCGGCUAACUUCGUG